rnacentral:rRNA from 1 species
UACAGAGGUCUCAAGCGUUAAUCGGAAUUACUGGGCUUAAAGGGUCCGCAGGCGGACCAGCAAGUACCUUGUGAAAUCUCAGGUCUCAACCCUGAGUCUGCUGGGUAGACUGCUGGUCUUGAGUGCAAAAGGGGUCGCUGGAACUCUAGGUGUAGAGGUGAAAUUCGUAGAUAUUCGGCGGAACACCAGUGGCGAAGGCGACUCACUGGCCCAAUACUGACGCUGAUGCGCGAAAGCGUGGGGAGCAAACAGG